GACGAACGCUGGCGGCGUGCCUAAUACAUGCAAGUCGAACGAGAGCGACCGGUGCUUGCACUGGUCAAUCUAGUGGCGAACGGGUGAGUAACACGUGGUUAACCUGCCCAUCAGAGGGGGAUAACAUUCGGAAACGGAGGCUAAAACCGCAUAGGUCUUCGAACCGCAUGGUUCGAAGAGGAAAAGAGGCGCAAGCUUCUGCUGAUGGAUGGACCCGCGGUGCAUUAGCUAGUUGGUGAGGUAACGGCUCACCAAGGCCGUGAUGCAUAGCCGACCUGAGAGGGUGAUCCGCCACAUUGGGACUGAGACACGGCCCAAACUCCUACGGGAGGCAGCAGUAGGGAAUCUUCCGCGAUGGACGAAAGGCUGACGGAGCAACGCCGCGUGAGUGAAGAAGGUUUUCGGAUCGUAAAACUCUGUUGUUAGAGAAGAAUAAGUGCUAGAGUAACUGUUAGCGCCUUGACGGUAUCUAAAGAGAAAGCCACGGCUAACUACGUG
rnacentral:rRNA from 1 species